rnacentral:rRNA from 1 species
UACGUAGGGUGCAAGCGUUGUCCGGAAUUAUUGGGCGUAAAGAGCUUGUAGGCGGUUUGUCGCGUCUGCUGUGAAAUUUCGGGGCUCAACCCCGAACUUGCAGUGGGUACGGGCAGACUAGAGUGUGGUAGGGGAGACUGGAAUUCUCGGUGUAGCGGUGAAAUGCGUAGAUAUCGAGAGGAACACCUAUUGCGAAGGCAGCUCGCUGGGACGUAACUGACGCUGAGACGCGAAAGCGUGGGGAGCGAACAGG